CCUACGGGGGGCAGCAGUGGGGAAUCUUCCGCAAUGGACGAAAGUCUGACGGAGCAACGCCGCGUGAGCGAUGACGGCCUUCGGGUUGUAAAGCUCUGUUAAUCGGGACGAAAGGCCUUCUUGCGAAUAGUGAGAAGGAUUGACGGUACCGGAAUAGAAAGCCACGGCUAACUACGUGCCAGCAGCCGCGGUAAUACGUAGGUGGCAAGCGUUGUCCGGAAUUAUUGGGCGUAAAGCGCGCGCAGGCGGAUAGGUCAGUCUGUCUUAAAAGUUCGGGGCUUAACCCCGUGAUGGGAUGGAAACUGCCAAUCUAGAGUAUCGGAGAGGAAAGUGGAAUUCCUAGUGUAGCGGUGAAAUGCGUAGAUAUUAGGAAGAACACCAGUGGCGAAGGCGACUUUCUGGACGAAAACUGACGCUGAGGCGCGAAAGCCAGGGGAGCGAACGGGAUUAGAUACCCGGGUAGUC
rnacentral:rRNA from 1 species